GUCUUCUUAGCUGUUUCGUCAAUAUUUGCGUGUUAAUAAUGCGGGCCGUGUCUUGCGACACCCGCCAAAACAUUCAAAGUUGGGGUGUGUGUGGAUAUUCAAUAAUGAUCCAUCCGCAGGUUCACCUACGGAUA
rnacentral:misc_RNA from 1 species